UCGGGAAUUUUGUGCAAUGGGCGAAAGCCUGACACAGCAACGCCGCGUGAAGGAUGAAGUCCCUCGGGAUGUAAACUUCGUAAGAAUAGGAAGAAUAAAUGACGGUACUAUUUGUAAGGUCCGGCUAACUACGUGCCAGCAGCCGCGGUAAUACGUAGGGACCAAGCGUUGUUCGGAUUUACUGGGCGUAAAGGGUGCGUAGGCGGCAUAUCAAGUCACUUGUGAAAUCUCCGGGCUUAACUCGGAACUGCCAAGUGAUACUGAUGUGCUAGAGUGCAGAAAGGGCAACUGGAAUUCUUGGUGUAGCGGUGAAAUGCGUAGAUAUCAAGAGGAACACCUGAGGCGAAGGCGAGUUGCUAGGCUGACACUGACGCUGAGGUACGAAAGCUAGGGGAGCGAACGGGAUUAGAUACCCGAGUAGUCCCUGAGCGGGCUGGCAAGGCGCAU
rnacentral:rRNA from 1 species